rnacentral:rRNA from 1 species
GGGACACGUGGUAUCCUGUCUGAAUAUGGGGGGACCAUCCUCCAAGGCUAAAUACUCCUGACUGACCGAUAGUGAACCAGUACCGUGAGGGAAAGGCGAAAAGAACCCCGGCGAGGGGAGUGAAAAAGAACCUGAAACCGUGUACGUACAAGCAGUGGGAGCACGCUUAGGCGUGUGACUGCGUACCUUUUGUAUAAUGGGUCAGCGACUUAUAUUCUGUAGCAAGGUUAACCGAAUAGGGGAGCCGAAGGGAAACCGAGUCUUAACUGGGCGUUAAGUUGCAGGGUAUAGACCCGAAACCCGGUGAUCUAGCCAUGGGCAGGUUGAAGGUUGGGUAACACUAACUGGAGGACCGAACCGACUAAUGUUGAAAAAUUAGCGGAUGACUUGUGGCUGGGGGUGAAAGGCCAAUCAAACCGGGAGAUAGCUGGUUCUCCCCGAAAGCUAUUUAGGUAGCGCCUCGUGAAUUCAUCUCCGGGGGUAGAGCACUGUUUCGGCAAGGGGGUCAUCCCGACUUACCAACCCGAUGCAAACUGCGAAUACCGGAGAAUGUUAUCACGGGAGACACACGGCGGGUGCUAACGUCCGUCGUGAAGAGGGAAACAACCCAGACCGCCAGCUAAGGUCCCAAAGUCAUGGUUAAGUGGGAAACGAUGUGGGAAGGCCCAGACAGCCAGGAUGUUGGCUUAGAAGCAGCCAUCAUUUAAAGAAAGCGUAAUAGCUCACUGGUCGAGUCGGCCUGCGCGGAAGAUGUAACGGGGCUAAACCAUGCACCGAAGCUGCGGCAGCGACGCUUAUGCGUUGUUGGGUAGGGGAGCGUUCUGUAAGCCUGUGAAGGUGUGCUGUGAGGCAUGCUGGAGGUAUCAGAAGUGCGAAUGCUGACAUAAGUAACGAUAAAGCGGGUGAAAAGCCCGCUCGCCGGAAGACCAAGGGUUCCUGUCCAACGUUAAUCGGGGCAGGGUGAGUCGACCCCUAAGGCGAGGCCGAAAGGCGUAGUCGAUGGGAAACAGGUUAAUAUUCCUGUACUUGGUGUUACUGCGAAGGGGGGACGGAGAAGGCUAUGUUGGCCGGGCGACGGUUGUCCCGGUUUAAGCGUGUAGGCUGGUUUUCCAGGCAAAUCCGGAAAAUCAAGGCUGAGGCGUGAUGACGAGGCACUACGGUGCUGAAGCAACAAAUGCCCUGCUUCCAGGAAAAGCCUCUAAGCAUCAGGUAACAUCAAAUCGUACCCCAAACCGACACAGGUGGUCAGGUAGAGAAUACCAAGGCGCUUGAGAGAACUCGGGUGAAGGAACUAGGCAAAAUGGUGCCGUAACUUCGGGAGAAGGCACGCUGAUAUGUAGGUGAAGCGACUUGCUCGUGGAGCUGAAAUCAGUCGAAGAUACCAGCUGGCUGCAACUGUUUAUUAAAAACACAGCACUGUGCAAACACGAAAGUGGACGUAUACGGUGUGACGCCUGCCCGGUGCCGGAAGGUUAAUUGAUGGGGUCAGCGCAAGCGAAGCUCUUGAUCGAAGCCCCGGUAAACGGCGGCCGUAACUAUAACGGUCCUAAGGUAGCGAAAUUCCUUGUCGGGUAAGUUCCGACCUGCACGAAUGGCGUAAUGAUGGCCAGGCUGUCUCCACCCGAGACUCAGUGAAAUUGAACUCGCUGUGAAGAUGCAGUGUACCCGCGGCAAGACGGAAAGACCCCGUGAACCUUUACUAUAGCUUGACACUGAACAUUGAGCCUUGAUGUGUAGGAUAGGUGGGAGGCUUUGAAGUGUGGACGCCAGUCUGCAUGGAGCCGACCUUGAAAUACCACCCUUUAAUGUUUGAUGUUCUAACGUGGACCCGUGAUCCGGGUUGCGGACAGUGUCUGGUGGGUAGUUUGACUGGGGCGGUCUCCUCCUAAAGAGUAACGGAGGAGCACGAAGGUUGGCUAAUCCUGGUCGGACAUCAGGAGGUUAGUGCAAUGGCAUAAGCCAGCUUGACUGCGAGCGUGACGGCGCGAGCAGGUGCGAAAGCAGGUCAUAGUGAUCCGGUGGUUCUGAAUGGAAGGGCCAUCGCUCAACGGAUAAAAGGUACUCCGGGGAUAACAGGCUGAUACCGCCCAAGAGUUCAUAUCGACGGCGGUGUUUGGCACCUCGAUGUCGGCUCAUCACAUCCUGGGGCUGAAGUAGGUCCCAAGGGUAUGGCUGUUCGCCAUUUAAAGUGGUACGCGAGCUGGGUUUAGAACGUCGUGAGACAGUUCGGUCCCUAUCUGCCGUGGGCGCUGGAGAACUGAGGGGGGCUGCUCCUAGUACGAGAGGACCGGAGUGGACGCAUCACUGGUGUUCGGGUUGUCAUGCCAAUGGCACUGCCCGGUAGCUAAAUGCGGAAGAGAUAAGUGCUGAAAGCAUCUAAGCACGAAACUUGCCCCGAGAUGAGUUCUCCCUGACCCUUUAAGGGUCCUGAAGGAACGUUGAAGACGACGACGUUGAUAGGCCGGGUGUGUAAGCGCAGCGAUGCGUUGAGCUAACCGGUACUAAUGAACCGUGAGGCUUAACCUUACAAC